rnacentral:tRNA from 1 species
GCCCGGGUGGUGGAAUUGGUAGACACAGCAGACUUAAAAUCUGCCGACUAUUGCAGUCGUGCCGGUUCAAUUCCGGCUCCGGGCACCA